CGAUGAGUGUAUUAAUGUGUUUCCUGUCACUGACGCUCCGCUGUUUCCCAAACCUGCAGCAGGUCUGUAAAUACCAGUUUCCGGUGGCGACCAGCAGGUGGCGGUAAUACGCUCACAGCCGGGACGUCACCUGCACGGACCCGAAGAAGAAGCGGGGCGGAAGUUAUAUCUGUGUUGUGUUCGUAACGGUUCUUGUUGGUUCCGUCGUUGUGGUUGUUUUAGCGGCUCCAGGCUAAACCGGGAGGACUCGUGUUACCGUGAAUGUCGACGGUGUGCGUGUCUGUGGAUGGAGCGGACAGUGACGGAAGCAACUUUGCUGAGCAACAUGGAAGCGACAGGAGCACCAGGAGACGACCUGAGUCAGCAGUGCAGCAACUGCGACGCAGCCUCCGCCGCAUGUUGGUGUCUCGACUGCAAUGAAGCUCUGUGCGGCGUCUGUGUGUCGGCGCAUCGCAGAGUCACGGUGACCAGAUCGCACAGGCUCCUCCAUCACCCGCCAGAAGGUAAA